rnacentral:rRNA from 1 species
AGCGAACGCUGGCGGCAGGCUUAACACAUGCAAGUCGAGCGGGCAUCCUUGUGGUGUCAGCGGCAGACGGGUGAGUAACGCGUGGGAACGUGCCCUUCGGUUCGGAAUAACUCAGGGAAACUUGUGCUAAUACCGGAUACGCCCUUUUGGGGAAAGGUUUACUGCCGAAGGAUCGGCCCGCGUCUGCUUAGCUAGUUGGUGAGGUUAUGGCUCACCAAGGCGACGAUCAGUAGCUGGUCUGAGAGGAUGAUCAGCCACACUGGGACUGAGACACGGCCCAGACUCCUACGGGAGGCAGCAGUGGGGAAUAUUGGACAAGGGGGGCAACCCUGACCCAGCCAUGCCGCGUGAGUGAUGACGGCCUUAGGGUUGUAAAGCUCUUUUCUCCGGGACGAUAAUGACGGUACCGGAGGAAUAAGCCCCGGCUAACUUCGUG